GAUGAAGAACGCAGCGAAAUGCGAUACUUGGUGUGAAUUGCAGAAUCCCGUGAACCAUCGAGUCUUUGAACGCAAGUUGCGCCCGAAGCCAUCAGGUUGAGGGCACGUCUGCCUGGGCGUCACAUAUCGUUGCCCAAUGCCUAUUGCAGUGCAAUAGGAAUUUCUAGGGCGAAUGAUGGCUUCCCGUGAGCGUUGUUGCCUCGCGGUUGGUUGAAAAUCGAGUCCUUGGUAGGGUGUGCCAUGGUAGAUGGUGGUCGAGUUAGAACGAUACCGAUCAUGUGCAUGCUCCCCAAAAUAUGGCCUCUAUGACCCACACGCGUCUUUUGCCGCUCAUGACGAGACCUCAGGUCAGGCGGGGCUACCCGCUGAAUUUAAGCAUAUCAAUAAGCGGAGGA
rnacentral:misc_RNA from 1 species